rnacentral:rRNA from 1 species
GAUGAACGCUAGCGGCAGGCCUAAUACAUGCAAGUCGAGGGGUAGUGGUUGCUUGCAGCCAUGAGACCGGCGCACGGGUGCGUAACGCGUAUGCAACCUACCUUCAUCUGGGGGAUAGCCCGGAGAAAUCCGGAUUAAUACCGCAUAAAAUCACAGUACGGCAUCCAACAAUGAUCAAACAUUUAUGGGAUGGAGAUGGGCAUUCGUGGCAUUAGUUUGUUGGCGGGGUAACGGCCCACCAAGACCGCGAUGACUAGGGGAUCUGAGAGGAUAACACACCACACUAGUACUGGGACACGGACCAGACUCCUACGGCAUGAAGCAGUACGGAAUAUUGGUCAAUGAGCGCAAGCCUGAACCAGCCAUGCCGCUUGCAGGAAGACGGCCCUCUGGUUUGUAAACUGCUUUUAUUCGGGAAUAAAACUGCUUACGUGUAAGUAGCUGAAUGUACCGAAGGAAUAAGGAUCGGCUAACUCCGUGCCAGCAGCCGCAGUAAAAC